rnacentral:rRNA from 1 species
GACGAACGCUGGCGGCAGGCCUAACACAUGCAAGUCGAGCGUGAAGCAUUUCUUCGGAGAUGUGGAAAGCGGCGGACGGGUGAGUAACGCGUGGGAAUAUGCCAAGUGGUAAGGAAUAGCCUCGGGAAACUGUGAUUAAUACCUUAUACGCCCCAAGGGGGAAAGAUUUAUCGCCAUUUGAUUAGCCCGCGUAAGAUUAGAUAGUUGGUAGGGUAAUGGCCUACCAAGUCUGCGAUCUUUAGCUGUUCUGAGAGGAAGAUCAGCCACACUGGAACUGAGACACGGUCCAGACUCCUACGGGAGGCAGCAGUGGGGAAUAUUGGGCAAUGGAGGAAACUCUGACCCAGCCAUGCCGCGUGAGUGAAGAAGGCCCUAGGGUUGUAAAACUCUUUCAGAUGUGAAGAUGAUGACUGUAACAUCAGAAGAAGCCCCGGCUAACUUCG